AAAGGACCGGACUCAACCCUCCCUUUGGAAGACUCCAGAAACCUAUUUAGGUGAGGAGCGAGGGACUCUCCUGGGAAGAGCCCAUCUUAAGGGAGCAGGAGCCAGGCUGGCCCCACUUGACCCCGUCCCCGAGGGAGGGAGACCGUGUGUGUCUGUCACUCACUUGUCUGCUGGCCCGGAAGACUCUGACUGCGAGGCCUAGAAGCUUGGGGAUCUCGUGAGACACUGACCUGUGGCAUGUGUCUGGGCCUUAGUGUAACCCUGUCACAUGAGUGGCCUCAUGAAGGAGACUAGACUAUUCAUGGGCUUGGGAGGCUCGUUGACUUACCAGGAAUCCAGCGGGUCGAGGGUGAUCCAGGAGGGGAGGCUUCCUUGAGAGAGAGCGGGAGCAAGGUAGAGGGGAAGAGGGAGA